rnacentral:rRNA from 1 species
GAUGAACGCUGGCGGCGUGCCUAAUACAUGCAAGUAGAACGCUGAAGGAGGAGCUUGCUCUUCUGGAUGAGUUGCGAACGGGUGAGUAACGCGUAGGUAACCUGCCUGGUAGCGGGGGAUAACUAUUGGAAACGAUAGCUAAUACCGCAUGACAACAGUUAUUGCAUGAUAACUGUUUAAAAGGGGCAACUGCUCCACUACCAGAUGGACCUGCGUUGUAUUAGCUAGUUGGUGAGGUAACGGCUCACCAAGGCGACGAUACAUAGCCGACCUGAGAGGGUGAUCGGACACACUGGGACUGAGACACGGCCCAGACUCCUACGGGAGGCAGCAGUAGGGAAUCUUCGGCAAUGGACGGAAGUCUGACCGAGCAACGCCGCGUGAGUGAAGAAGGUUUUCGGAUCGUAAAGCUCUGUUGUAAGAGAAGAACGAGUGUGAGAGUGGAAAGUUCACACUGUGACGGUAUCUUACCAGAAAGGGACGGCUAACUACGUG